GCGGACGUGGUGAAAUUGGCAGACACGCUAGACUUAGGAUCUAGUGGCGCAAGCUGUGGAGGUUCAAGUCCUCUCGUCCGCACCA
rnacentral:tRNA from 2 species